GUAAACCCGCCCGAAACCCGCACUGUAAAAGCCCGCACGAACCCGUCCAUUUAUUAAAUUCGUGCUAAAAAAGCCCGCACGCAAAAAACCCGUAAAUUAACGGGCCUUGCGUGCAAAACCCACUGGAACCCAUGGAACCCGUUUACAAAACCUACUUCGAGUCUUCGACCUUUCCGUCAUUCACCAGAAGUCCAGAACGCAACUCUCUCUCUCUCGAACUCAACCCAAUCUGAGCACAGCAACCUCCCAUUCAUUUCCGUCACCCAAUCUGAGCACGCUUUCUGGUUAAGCAGAGCCUUUAGCACAGAAUCAAAAGUUCCUUGGUAUAAUGGAAACUCAGAGGAGAACUUUUGGGUUGUGCUAUUCCUUGUUAGUGGGGGUUUUCUUGGUAUUCUUCUCUGGCAUUGGUUCUUCUGCAGUUUCCAAUGAGAUCAAUCUGUCAAAUCGCUCUUGAUGUUUUAUAGUUUCUGUUAAACAAAGGAACUUGUAUAAAAAUUUUGUAGUUAUGCUCAACAAGAUGUGUUUAUAUGUUUGGUGAGCACUUGAUCAACUUUGGUAUUUCCGAGAUAGCCAUAGUUAGCCUUUUCAAUUAACACAGUGUAUGACAAUAUCUUUCUUAAUCGAGACAUAAACAGAGACGAUAAUCGAAAGGGGUUUGUAGAGACAUAUAUUAGGAAUAUUAAUUGAUAUUGUUAAUGUUACUUUCACAAAAUUUCUUUAAGAUUUUGUAAAAUUUUCUGUAUCUUUUUCUGACAUAUAACACUCAUCACACCACUGAAUUUCAAUGAUAUGUACAAUGUACUAGAUUGAUGAGUGAACUGAGCUAGGUAAUGCAAUGCUCAGUAUCUCAUGCUAGGAAUAAAAUCUUUAAACUUGUUUUGAUCUAUAAAUGCAAGUAGGGGUGGCUGCUUUUUGACUUUUAGUUUAUCUCACUCUCACCCUGUAAAAGAUUUAGAAUAUGAGUUGGUUGUGGGGAGUUUAGACUGUAAGAUUAUGAUUGAUCGAUUUGGUAUCAGUUUAUAACGCUGUGGGAUUGUUUGAGAGUUUUGGUGCUGCUGAUUCAAAUUACUCGAUAGAUGAGAGUUCUUCUCAAGCACAAGGCGAUCACAGCUUACUUGAGGCUUUUGAUAACGCUUACAAAAUUGGUUCGAGUUCAAGUAUGAAGACAGAAUUGAGCAAGUAUUUGGAUGAAGUAAGGCUAGAAAGAAAGCAAGAGUUGGAUGUACUUUCUUGGUGGAAAAUGGAGCAAAUUCGAUAUCCAAUUCUUUUUCAUCUAGCUCGUGAUGUGCUCACAAUUCCUAUUUCUACCGUUGCAUCUGAAUCGGCCUUUAGCAUUGGCGGGAGAGUUUUAGAUCAAUACCGCAGCUCACUGUUGCCUGACACAGUUCAAGCUCUGCUUUGUACUCGAGAUUGGAUUUUUGGUAACAAAGAAAAAGAGCGCGCUGAAUUGGAGGAUCUUACUGAAGACGUAUUUGAUUUGACAUUGCAAGAUAGAUCUGGAGAAGGAGAAAGCCGCAAUUAAGAUGACUUAGACGUAUUUUAUUUAGUACAUUAAAAAUGUAUUUUAUUUAGUACAUUAAAUAUGUAUUUCGAACCUAUUGAAAUAUUUAAUUAUAUUUACUAGCUUAGCUCAA